rnacentral:rRNA from 1 species
AUUUAUUUUAACCACUUUCCAGUUCUUCUACUUUGUUACGACUUAUUUUUAUUUCAAUUUGAAGCGCGACGGGCAAAUUUCAAAACAUUUUAAUUUAUAAUUAUUUUAAUAAAUUAAACAAAAAUACAUUUAAAUUUAUUUUCAAAUAUUUAUUAAAUAAUAAUAACUGUCCAUCAACUAUUCAUUGUAAUCCAUUAUAUUCAAAAUUAUUAUUUCCAUUCUGAUCUGAACUAAAUUAUACUUACUAUUUUAUCAUAUUAUUUUUAUUUAAAAAUAUUUUUUUAUAAACGAUAUAAAAAAUUUAUAAAUUAAGUCAAUUUAUUCGUGGAUUAUCAAUUGUUAAACAGAUUCCUAUUAAAGAACUAAAUUACCGCCAAAUAGAAUGACUUUUUAUCAAUAUUUAUUUACUAAUUUAGUAUUAUUAAUAACAUUUUUAAUAAUAGGGUAUUUAAUUCCCGUUUUUUUCAAAUAUUAAAUAACCAAAUCAUACAUUAAAAUUUUUAUUAAAAUAAAUUUUUAAUUAAUAAACUCCUAUUAUAUUUUUUUCUUAUUAUAUUAAUUAUUUACUAAUAAAAUCAUAAAUUAUAUUUCGUAUAACCGCAACUGCUGGAACAAAAUCCGUUAAUUAUAAUAAAUAUUACUAAAUCUUAAUUUCUUAAAUUUAUAAUUUUAAAAUUAACCAAUAAUUUUUAAAAAAUUUAUUAAUUAAUUAAAAAUUAUUUCUAUCAUUUAUUUGUAAAAUAAAUUUAAAUUAAAUUUUUUAAAUUACUAAUUUUAUUUAUAUU